CCUUCGACGCCGCGUGAGGGAUGAAGGCCUUCGGGUUGUAAACCUCUUUCAGUAGGGAAGAAGCGAAAGUGACGGUACCUAAAGAAGAAGCACCGGCUAACUAUGUGCCAGCAGCCGCGGUAAUACAUAGGGUGCAAGCGUUGUCCGGAAUUAUUGGGCGUAAAGAGCUCGUAGGUCGUUUGCCGCGUCGAUUGUGAAAAUCUGAGGCUCAACCUCAGACCUGCAGUCGAUACGGGCAAACUAGAGUGUGGUAGGGGAGACUGGAAUUCCUGGUGUAGCGGUGGAAUGCGCAGAUAUCAGGAGGAACACCAAUGGCGAAGGCAGGUCUCUGGGCCAUAACUGACACUGAGGAGCGAAAGCGCGGGGAGCGAACAGGAUUAGAUACCCUGGUAGUCCGCGCCGUAAACGGUGGGCACUAGCUGUGAGGACCUUCCACGGUCUUCGCGACGCAGCAAACGCAUUAAGUGCCCCGCCUGGGGAGUACGAUCGCAAGAUUAAAACUCAAAGGAAUUGACGGGGCCCCGCACAAGCAGCGGAGCAUGCGGCUUAAUUCGACGCAACGCGAAGAACCUUACCAAGGCUUGACAUAUAGCGAAAAGUGG
rnacentral:rRNA from 1 species